CUCUUGCCCACGGGAGACCAUUGCUUAGAUUCUGACAUAUUUGUGACGCACCCGGUGAAUUUUGCCUCCAGUGUGUGGAGGGUGUUCUUGUUGGAAAAUCAAGGAAUUUAUCAAACUGGCGGCUGAGGCGGAACAAGCCGACGAGCUUCUACCACUGUUUGAACCUGAUGAUAGUGGUAUUGACAGUGACGACACUGGUCGGGUCGCAUCGAGUGCCAGACGGCACAACAAUAGGAUAGUGGAGGUAGAAGAAAGUAGCAGUGAUGAGGAUCCUGUGAUCAGAGCGUGGUGGCCGGCGAAAAGAAAGAAUGACCAAUUACUGAUAAAUAUGAGGGAGCAAGUAAAUAUAAUGGAUAAUGGUGCUAGAGCAGUGGAGCGAGUUAGUCAAGAUACUUGCAUGAUGACAGAUAGCUCUGACCGCGCCUCUCCUCCCCUUUAUGAAGUGGAAUUAACAGCUUCAGACGAAGAUGACGAUGCUUCUGUAUUAGAACUAGUCAUACCGAUGCAGUCCUCGAAAUAUCACAGAGUACCAACGUCAUCACCAAAGAAAACAAAACCCAAAGCUCCCAAAUUUUUCUGCAAUUUAUUCUGUUGUAUCCGUAAGUAAUAUUUCUAUGCUGGAAAUUGAUUUUAGGUAUCCAUUGGGUGCUUAUCAUACAUAAUUUACCGUCAAACAAUAUUUAUUGUUUUUUAAAGUACCUAUAUGUAGUUAAAAUGGCAUAAAAAAUUAUGUAAUACUUGAUGGUAAGUGGCAACUAUUGACCACAUAUAUGACCAGUAUCACGGAUAUCGCAUUAUCACGUGACGCCCGUGGUACCACUUUUGUAUUCGCAUAUCGGAGAACUAAAAUAUCACGCCAUAAUAUCCUAUAAUUUCACUACUUUAUCUAUUAAAACACACAAAACGCAAGUUACUUGGCGGCUGAAGUCCCCACGCAGAAUACUUUGUACAAAGUCUACCUAAACACGGUAUAUAUAAUAAUUUUAUUCACAAAUAUACAAUUGAAAAUGAAUAUUAUGCAUUUCAGUUAAAAUUCUUUUAAGAUUCUGGUAAUGGUAAAUGACAUGGUAUGCUAACAACUGCACAGCAUGUUUAUAAUUGUCGCUCACAGUAAGGUUUUACGGGACAGUAAAUUUUAUAUAAAAGUACUCACUUACCAAUUUAAUUUAGUGAGUGUCUUGACUGACACCACAGAUAAGAUAAUUUUCCAUACUGCAACUAUAUAAAAAUAUGUUUGUUACACAAAUUAAUAUUGUAAAUACAUUUGUAACAAAAUUUUUUUCACAGAUAUUUCUAUUAGAUAUUAACUACUAAAUAUAAUUAUGGACUUAAUUUUUAUG